AUUGACGGAAGCUGUAUCCGUUAAUCCUUUGAUGGCAUAAUAACCUUCUUCUUUACAGUUAUUAAAAGUGAGAUUUUUGUAUUCCAUUGAUUUUUAUCCUAACUCAGAGGAUAGAAUUUGUCAGUAGUGGCAUUUCUGAGAUGAAAGAAGUGGGCCCUGCCAUUGAACAGAAUUUAUGCAUUUAAAAAUUCAUUAUUUCUGUGAAAAAGAGAAGAAAGCACCAUCCGCGGAAAGAUUCUGAUGCUAACAUCAGUCAAUUGUUGUGGAAGCUGACCUAGAAUGAACCAUUGCUUCUUUUUCUACCGUCUAUUCUGGAAAUUAUUAACAGAUUCCCGAGCCACAAGUUGAGAAAACACUGGGAGGUUGUUUAUUCUGAUCUGGAUUUUUAGAGAUGCAAAUGCAGCAAAGGAGUUAUGAACAUAAUGAAGGGAAUCAUAGUAUUUUAACCAGCCAUCUGUACAUCAAGGCCUCAUUGUGUCUUCCUGAAAAAAGUUGAAGGGACUUAAAAGCAGAACCAAGGCUUCCCUGAAGAAGAGGAAAUUCCACCUGUGAACAGCAGCUUCAAUCCAUUCCUAAAGUGCCAGCCUGCCCUGUGGAUUUUGAAGUUACCUAGGCAGGUCCCACAACUGAGUGAGCCUGCAUGGCAUAGUGAGCCUGCAACUGUGAACUCGGGAAAUCCUGUACCUUCCCGUGCAGUCGCUCCCCAGCCAUGCAGGUAUUUCCAGAGCCUGGAGAUCCCAGACUACCUUUCAAAAGAGUGAAUUCCAGACCCAGAGAGGCCCCUGGAGGAGAUUCAUGGCAAGCAGCCAUAUGAAAUAACAGAAGCCCCAGAGAGGAGAAGCGAUUUCCUGCCUAAGUUGUCCAUCUGUCAGUGGCAAAGCUAGGACUGGAACUCAGGAUUCUCCAUCCCUCUUCCCAAACCUGGCACUAUCUUCCUGGCUUUCUGGGUCUGGAGUCCCAUGCUAGAGGCCCUCUGUUUCCAGAGCAGGGCUCAUUGAAUAUGUGUGCUCUUUCUACUCAAGUGCUUCAAGGAUCCUUCCUGGAAAGGACCCAGGCAUAAAUUCUUGAAGAGUUGAUCUGAGUGACAGACUCCCAUGCUAUGCCAAGAAUGGCCUCUUAUUUCCCAAUGAUUGAGACCUUUUAUUUGAUCAAUCUCAUGUGCUUACUGGACCCCAGUGAUACCUUCACAUACCUGACACCUCAGGGAAACACAGCUUCCGUUCAAGUCAAGAUCCUUGCUACACUGCAAACUCUUAUGAAACGUCUAGGAGAAUUUUCAGGCUCCUUUGUAUAUGGAAAAAGGUCAGAAUGAAGCUCCAAAUUCUUCAGCAUGUGUAAAAACUUAAGACAACUACAUUUUAUUUUUAUUUUUUAUUUUUUUCAUUGUUUUUUUUUGAGACAGCCUUGCUCUGUUGCCCAGGCUGGAGUGCAGUGGCACAAUCUCGGCUCAUUGCAACUUCCACCUCCUGGGUUCAAGCGAUUCUUGUGCCUCAGCCUCCCAAGUAGCUGGAAUUACAGGCAUGCACCACCAUUCCCAGCUAAUUUUUGUAUUUUUAAUAGAGAUGGGGUUUCACCAUGUUGGCCAGGCUGGUCUCGACCUCCUGACCUCAGGUGAUCCACUCGUCUUGGCCUCCCAAAGUGCUGGGAUUACAGGCAUGAGCCCCUGUGCCCGGCCAACAAGUACAUUUUAAAGCAACUUUAUUCUCAACUGAAUGACAUUUGAAUGACUUUCUUGCCCAUGUGGAUAUGGAUAAGGAUAUUUUGCCAAUAUUCUUGUUUGUGUUUGACUGUGAUGCUAUUGUUAUACAAAGAAUGGGCAGGUGGAGCUAAGCAGAAAGAGACAGUCGGGUACCUGUACCAUGGAAAAUGGAAGAGAGCCAAGCAGAGUGCAUCCUUAGGGGUCAGGGAGGUCAGUGCAAGCGGGGACAAAGCCCAGCUGAGUCGGUGAGCACUUCAUGGCAGACUGGUCAAAUUAUAUCUCUUGGACUAAGAUCUUCAUUAAAGGCCUGCACCUCAGAGACAUUUCAGCCUACCAAGGUGCAUCAUUAUGGAAGACUGGGCAUGAUAAUAGUAAUUUAAAUGAAGUUAAAAGAGCAGUCUAAAUUAGAACAGGUAUUCACAUUCCAACUUCUCUUUAGAAGAGCCUCUGUUGGAUAAAGAAAACUCGCUGAGUAAAAUAAAUCGAUUGGAGGUAAACUUUACCAGCCCUGGAGUGCAAGGUUUAGAAACAUGCACACAUCCCAUGGCGUUAGGGGUCCUGUUGUUUUCUUCCACGUCAUUUCAUCACAGAACAAUUUUCUACAGCAACCUGAUCUACCUUGUGGCCAAGUAAGGCAUGUGAGGGUUUUUGUUUUGUUUUGUUUUGAGACGGAGUCUCACUCUGUCGCCCAGGCUGUAGUGCACUGGCGUGAUCUCCGCUCACUGCAAGCUCCGCCUCCCGGGUUCGCGCCAUUCUCCUGCCUCAGCCUCCCAAGUAGCUGGGACUACAGGCGCCCGCCACCAUGCCUGGCUAAUUUUCUGUAUUUUUAUUACAGUCGGGAUUUCACCAUGUUAGCCAGGAUGGUCUCGAUCUCCUGACCUCGUGAUCCGCCCAUCUCGGCCUACCAAAGUGCUGGGAUUACAGGUGUGAGCCACCGCUCCCAGCCAGGCAUGUGAGAGUUUUAAAUCAAAUGUUACCUUGUCCCUAUUAGCCUUAUCACUGCUAAAUAUCUACAUGGUUCCCUGUUAAGGAGAGUUUCUAAAUGACUCUCUUGAGAAAUCCUGGAUAAAUGGGAAAUGGAGCAUUUUUCCUGCCUCUAAGCUUUGCUCCACUGCAAUCUUUCACACGCUAUGUACCCAGAGGGUGACUGCCAGAUAGCUUAUUGGAGAAAGGAAGGAGGAAAGGGUCAUUUUCUUCCUGCACUUUCUAACACCCAACAGAGGAAAUGCACAGCAUAGGUGUGUGGGAGUUUGGCUGACUUAUGGUAAAAAAUAAACAUGGUUUCCUGUU